GCCUUGGUGGUACAGUGGUUAAGCGUUUGGCUGAGAACCAAAAGGUCAGCGGUUCGAACCCAGCAGAGGCU
rnacentral:tRNA from 1 species